rnacentral:rRNA from 1 species
CCUACGGGAGGCAGCAGUGGGGAAUAUUGCACAAUGGGGGAAACCCUGAUGCAGCGAUGCCGCGUGAGUGUAGGUGUAUUUCGGUAUGUAAAGUUCUAUCAGCAGGGAAGAAAAUGACGGUAGCUUAUUAAGACGCCCCUGCUAUCCACGUCCCAGACGCCGCGGUACUACGGAGGGGGCACGGGUUAUCGGGGUUUGCGGGGUGUAUAGGGAGCGUAGACGGCAGCAAAGGUCUGGGGGGAAAUGCCCGGGCUUAACGCGUGAACUGCGUUUGAUACUGUGUAGGUAGAGUGCAGGCGAGGUAAGAGGAAUUCCUAGUGUAGCGGUGAAAUGCGUAGAUAUUAGGAGGAACACCAGUUGCGAAGGCGUCUUACUGGACUGUAACUGACGUUGAGGCACGAAAGCGUGGGGAGCAAACAGGAUUAGAUACCCCGGUAGUC